GAGGAGCUUGCUCUUCUUGGAUGAGUUGCGAACGGGUGAGUAACGCGUAGGUAACCUGCCUUGUAGCGGGGGAUAACUAUUGGAAACGAUAGCUAAUACCGCAUAACAAUGGAUGACACAUGUCAUUUAUUUGAAAGGGGCAAUUGCUCCACUACAAGAUGGACCUGCGUUGUAUUAGCUAGUAGGUGAGGUAAUGGCUCACCUAGGCGACGAUACAUAGCCGACCUGAGAGGGUGAUCGGCCACACUGGGACUGAGACACGGCCCAGACUCCUACGGGAGGCAGCAGUAGGGAAUCUUCGGCAAUGGGGGCAACCCUGACCGAGCAACGCCGCGUGAGUGAAGAAGGUUUUCGGAUCGUAAAGCUCUGUUGUAAGUCAAGAACGGGUGUGAGAGUGGAAAGUUCACACUGUGACGGUAGCUUACCAGAAAGGGACGGCUAACUACGUGCCAGCAGCCGCGGUAAUACGUAGGUCCCGAGCGUUGUCCGGAUUUAUUGGGCGUAAAGCGAGCGCAGGCGGUUUGAUAAGUCUGAAGUUAAAGGCUGUGGCUCAACCAUAGUUCGCUUUGGAAACUGUCAAACUUGAGUGCAGAAGGGGAGAGUGGAAUUCCAUGUGUAGCGGUGAAAUGCGUAGAUAUAUGGAGGAACACCGGUGGCGAAAGCGGCUCUCUGGUCUGUAACUGACGCUGAGGCUCGAAAGCGUGGGGAGCGAACAGGAUUAGAUACCCUGGUAGUCCACGCCGUAAACGAUGAGUGCUAGGUGUUGGAUCCUUUCCGGGAUUCAGUGCCGCAGCUAACGCAUUAAGCACUCCGCCUGGGGAGUACGACCGCAAGGUUGAAACUCAAAGGAAUUGACGGGGGCCCGCACAAGCGGUGGAGCAUGUGGUUUAAUUCGAAGCAACGCGAAGAACCUUACCAGGUCUUGACAUCCCGAUGCUAUUUCUAGAGAUAGAAAGUUACUUCGGUACAUCGGUGACAGGUGGUGCAUGGUUGUCGUCAGCUCGUGUCGUGAGAUGUUGGGUUAAGUCCCGCAACGAGCGCAACCCCUAUUGUUAGUUGCCAUCAUUCAGUUGGGCACUCUAGCGAGACUGCCGGUAAUAAACCGGAGGAAGGUGGGGAUGACGUCAAAUCAUCAUGCCCCUUAUGACCUGGGCUACACACGUGCUACAAUGGUUGGUACAACGAGUUGCGAGUCGGUGACGGCGAGCUAAUCUCUUAAAGCCAAUCUCAGUUCGGAUUGUAGGCUGCAACUCGCCUACAUGAAGUCGGAAUCGCUAGUAAUCGCGGAUCAGCACGCCGCGGUGAAUACGUUCCCGGGCCUUGUACACACCGCCCGUCACACCACGAGAGUUUGUAACACCCGAAGUCGGUGAGGUAACC
rnacentral:rRNA from 1 species